rfam:Brachypodium distachyon strain Bd21 chromosome 2, whole genome shotgun sequence.
GGUAUAUUCCUCCGUCCAACAAAAGAUGUCUCAACUUUGACUAAAUUUGAAUGCAUCUAUACACAGUCAUGUCUAGAAACCUCCAAAUUUUGAAAAACUUGAGACAUCUUUUGUUGGACGGAGGGAGUACUAA